rnacentral:rRNA from 1 species
GCAGGCUGCAACUCGCCUGCAUGAAGUCGGAAUUGCUAGUAAUCGCGGAUCAGCAUGCCGCGGUGAAUACGUUCUCGGGCCUUGUACACACCGCCCGUCACACCAUGGGAGUCGGUAACACCCGAAGUCUGUAGCCUGACGCAAGAGGGCGCAGCCGAAGGUGGGAUUGAUGACUGGGGUGAAGUCGUAACAAGGUACC